AAAGCCAGUAAUUGCAGAGAGGAUCUGGAGGAGCUGGAGCCACUUGAGAUGAGUGACUUGCUACUCUUCCUUUCUGCAGUGAGAGAGAGCCCGUGGAUGUUCUGUGCCCUGUAGGAACAGAGGAGCUGCACAGAAGCAAGGUUCAAUUGUUAUCUUGUCUAAAGGCAUUCACAGACAGUCAAUCCUGUCUCUCAAUAAAUGAAGUGUUUCCUCUCCA